rnacentral:lncRNA from 1 species
UGGACCAAAUCAAGCUUAGAGUCAACCAGCUCGUAGAGUAUGUCAACUGUACAAAAUGGCAUUCAUGUCUGUUUCCUGCUGGCAAUUAAUAGACUUGACCUUAGAGCUUCCUCCAGUGACCGUUACCAUUUUCACACCAGUAGGCUAGGUGAAGCGUGCGAGUCGGUACAAACUGCUGGCGUGUUUGAUGCAGACAGCUGCGUUCCUGGAAGAAAACAUCACUGCUGCUGCCUCUGCCCUGGAAGGAGCCAGCAAAGGUUUGAGCCCUCCGGGGAGGGGAGCAGUGUCGUCUUGGUUUGGGGAGGCAAGGUUCACAGCCUGAAGAAGAGCGGCAGAACUGAGAAGACAGCCCUGCACCAGCCUAGGACAUCGCAUUUGAUCACCCACGCUGCUCUUAUUCUGUGA